CAUUUAGUUUAAGCAUUUUGAGAUGACUAUGGUUUUAUAAUGUGAUGUGUGAAAUUAAAUCAGGAACAUGCACAUUUGUGUUUUCAGAAGAAGGAAAAAAAUUGACACUUUUACUAUACUCAUACCUAAUUUAGGGUAUAAAAUGUGGUUCCUGAAAAUGGAAGUUCUAUACAAAUCUGUGCCAUACGAGGUUAUUAUUGCAUAGUAGCUAUGGAGAUCCAUCAUAUUUGACCAAUCACUUUUCUGUUUUACAUAAAUCCCCUCAUGGAGUGCCCUCAGCUAGAGUUCCCUCUAGCCACCUUUCAUGGGAAUUGUUGGUUCAUCCUCUGAGGCUGCAGUAGUAACUUUGAUGUUUUCUUUUUUUUUUUUGAGACAGAGUCUCACUCUGU
rnacentral:lncRNA from 1 species